rnacentral:rRNA from 1 species
GAGANAUAGCUGUCUCUGGNGGAUUAUUUUUUGAAAUUAACUUUUAAGUUAAAAGGCUUAAAUUUUUUUUAAAGACGAGAAGACCCUAUAGAGUUUCAUGGCUUGAUUGAUUAAAAAUUUUUGGUUAUUUUAUAUUUUAAUUUUUCGUGUCAUUUGGUUGGGGUGAUCAGAAGAUUGAAUAAACUCUUCUAAUACUUUUUAAUCAUUGGUUUGUGAAUNAUUNAUCUNAUUUUUUUAAAUUUAAAAUAAAUUACCUUAGGGAUAACAGCNUAAUUUUUUUUUAGAGUUCUUAUUAAAAGAAAAGUUUGCGACC